AUCAUAAUAUCGUAUCUUCA
rnacentral:snRNA from 1 species